CGACGCUCACGACGCGCAGUGCAGCCAACAUUCAUCCAUCGCCGCACAGACGUAGCGGCGCCCGUCGCCCUCUAUUUUGCUGUAUUUUCCACUAGUUUACGCUGAUUCAGUGCUGGGUGCUACAAAUUCCAAUACAUUUUCGAAAUUUAAGAGAUUUCACGGGUGCUGCGCUAGGAAAUGCAUACAUACAGGACGCUAGCUUGAGGUGCUGCGGUUUGGUUGAAAGCAAUAAAAAUAUUUAUCGAGCACUUGUAGUAGGUACACAAUGGAGAUGUUGAUGUUGCAAGAAACAAAAUAAGAUAGCAUGUUUGAUUAAUAAGAUUUAUUAAACAUUUGAAGCUUAAUGAAUUUUAUUAAAAUUAAAGAAUUGUUGAGGGUUCUGAAAUUAGGACAACGAACAAUUCUCGAGUAGAUAAACUAUUCUUGUAAAUAUAUUAACAAAACCUUUUGUUUUCUUGUUUGAAAGUGUAACUUGAUUUACAAUUUACAAUACAAAUGAUAAAUAAAAUAAAA